UACGUAGGGUGCAAGCGUUGUCCGGAAUUAUUGGGCGUAAAGAGCUCGUAGGCGGUUUGUCGCGUCGGCUGUGAAAACCCGGGGCUCAACCCCGGGCCUGCAGUCGAUACGGGCAGACUAGAGUGCGGUAGGGGAGACUGGAAUUCCUGGUGUAGCGGUGAAAUGCGCAGAUAUCAGGAGGAACACCGGUGGCGAAGGCGGGUCUCUGGGCCGUAACUGACGCUGAGGAGCGAAAGCGUGGGGAGCGAACAGG
rnacentral:rRNA from 1 species